rnacentral:lncRNA from 1 species
AAAGAACUGGCGGUAGUUUAUGCAUAUGCUUAGCUUGACGUAGACAAUUCCAAGUUAUUGGCGAGUUUUAAAAACGUCUAAGUUAGAGACCAAAGAAAAUCUGAUGUGUGGAUUACUUACAUUGAACUUUAAAUAGGUAUUGUUUUUCAACAAUAAAACAAUAAACUGCAUUUAUCUUUUAUAAGAGGUUUUGGAUGGAAUCAACACCAACAGUUGUCUUCCUGAUGAUGAAUUGUUAAACAUAUACAAAACCCUGAUUUAGGAAAAGGUGAUUACAAUAGGAGUAUUCUGAUGUCAACUUUCUGCCACACUAGGAAGUGAGGAGAAACUGUAAGAAUUUAGAUAUCGUUAGAUUCCAGAGACUAUGUGAUAGUCAAAGAGAAUGGAUAUAAUGUCACGUUUUGACAGAAAAUGGGUAUAAUUUGUCACAAACAAAGGCUCUGCAGGAUGUGGCACAUCUCUCGCAAAGAAUCAAACAAAAACGUACAGAAGUAAGAAAGAUUGCGACCGCGUUAACCAGAGCUCAACGAAUGUUAUCGGGGGGUAGGCCUGGCAGUUGUUCAGUGCAGGAGAUCGAAAACGGAUGAAACAUUCGAACUGCUAGAAAAAUGUACCGAAGACACAAUACGAAAUAUUAUGAAAAAAAAACGUCACCAUGGCGACGAAAAUCAUUAACAGACUACCAUUUUUCAGCACUUCCCCAUUUUAUUAGUAUGUGUACAAUACCCAAAGAGAGAUAUGUGGUUAUAGUGCACAUCUU